UAUUGCACAAUGGAGGAAACUCGGAUGCAGCGACGCCGCGUGAACGAUGAAGGCUUUNNNGUCGUNANGUUCUGUCCUUGGGGNCGNNAAUGACGGUACCCAAGGAGGAAGCCCCGGCUAACUACGUGCCAGCAGCCGCGGUAAUACGUAGGGGGCAAGAGUUGUUCGGAUUUAUUGGGCGUAAAGGGUGCGUAGGCGGCCAUUUAAGUCAGAUGUGAAAGAUCACGGCUCAACCGUGGUAAGCAUUUGAAACUGAAAGGCUUGAGUUAAGGAGAGGAAAGUGGAAUUCCUAGUGUAGCGGUGAAAUGCGUAGAUAUUAGGAGGAAUACCAGUGGCGAAGGCGACUUUCUGGACUUAUACUGACGCUGAGGUACGAAAGCGUGGGGAGCGAACA
rnacentral:rRNA from 1 species